rnacentral:tRNA from 1 species
GGCGCGGUGUGGCUGGCGGAGACGGAGCGGUGCCCCUAUCAGGCGUUCCGGGUGGGCCGCCGGGCCUGGGGCGUGCAGUUCCACCCCGAGGUCGGGCCG